rnacentral:rRNA from 1 species
GAUGAACGCUGGCGGCGUGCCUAAUACAUGCAAGUCGAGCGAACAGACGAGGAGCUUGCUCCUCUGACGUUAGCGGCGGACGGGUGAGUAACACGUGGAUAACCUACCUAUAAGACUGGGAUAACUUCGGGAAACCGGAGCUAAUACCGGAUAAUAUAUUGAACCGCAUGGUUCAAUAGUGAAAGACGGUUUUGCUGUCACUUAUAGAUGGAUCCGCGCCGCAUUAGCUAGUUGGUAAGGUAACGGCUUACCAAGGCAACGAUGCGUAGCCGACCUGAGAGGGGUGAUCGCCAACCGUGGAGCGAGGCUGCGCACCAACACCGGAGGUGAGACACAGGAGGGAAUCCUCCGGGAUGGGGCAAAGGCGUAUCGUGGAAACGCGGCGAAAGUAUGAAUGAGCUCGGCAGCGUAAAUCAUGUUAUUAGGAAAGAACAAAUGUGUAAGUAACUAUGCACAUCUUGACGGUACCUGAUCAGAAAGCCACGGCUAACUACGUG